rnacentral:rRNA from 1 species
GAUGAACGCUAGCGACAGGCUUAACACAUGCAAGUCGAGGGGCAGCACAGGUAGCAAUACCGGGUGGCGACCGGCGCACGGGUGAGUAACGCGUAUGCAACUUACCUAUCAGAGGGGGAUAACCCGGCGAAAGUCGGACUAAUACCGCAUGAAGCAGGGGUCCCGCAUGGGGAUAUUUGCUAAAGAUUCAUCGCUGAUAGAUAGGCAUGCGUUCCAUUAGGCAGUUGGCGGGGUAACGGCCCACCAAACCGACGAUGGAUAGGGGUUCUGAGAGGAAGGUCCCCCACAUUGGUACUGCGACACGGACCAAACUCCUACGGGAGGCAGCAGUGAGGAAUAUUGGUCAAUGGCCGAGAGGCUGAACCAGCCAAGUCGCGUGAGAGAUGAAGGUUCUAUGGAUCGUAAACCUCUUUUAUAAGGGAAUAAAGUGCGGGACGUGUCCCGUUUUGUAUGUACCUUAUGAAUAAGGAUCGGCUAACUCCGUG